UCCGGUUUGGCACCGGCAGUCUCCCUAGAGUUCCCGGCAUCACCCGCUGGCAACUAAGGACAGGGGUUGCGCUCGUUGCGCCACUUAAGGCAACACCUCACGGCACGAGCUGACGACAGCCAUGCACCACCUGUGCAGGCUCCGAAGAGCACCCGCUUUCACGGGUUUCACCCUGCAUGUCAAGCCCAGGUAAGGUGGGGAUGACGUGUAACCGAAUCU
rnacentral:misc_RNA from 1 species